ACGGAAGGCAGCAGCUAAGAAUAUUCCGCAAUGGACGAAAGUCUGACGGAGCGACGCCGCGUGGAUGAUGAAGGUCGGAAGAUUGUGAAAUCCUUUUAUAACUGAGGAGUAAGUAUGGUGAGAGAAACGCCAUAUGGUGACUGUAGGUUAUGAAUAAGCAACGGCUAAUUACGUGCCAGCAGCCGCGGUAACACGUAAGUUGCGAGCGUUGUUCAGAAUUAUUGGGCGUAAAGGGCAUGUAGGCGGUUUUGCAAGCUUGGUGUGAAAUUCCGGAGCUCAACUCCGGAACUGCGUUGAGAACUGCAUAACUAGAGUCACUGAGGGGCAAUCAGAAUUCCUGGUGUAGGGGUGAAAUCUGUAGAUAUCAGGAAGAAUACCAAUGGCGAAGGCAGGUUACCAGCAGAUGACUGACGCUGAGGUGCGAAGGUGCGGGGAGCAAACAGGAUUAGAUACCCUGGUA
rnacentral:rRNA from 1 species